CUUGGCGACCAUAGCGUUGCGGACCCACCUGAUCCCAUGCCGAACUCAGAAGUGAAACGCAGUAGCGCCGAUGGUAGUGUGGGGCUUCCCCAUGUGAGAGUAGGACAUCGCCAGGC
rnacentral:rRNA from 2 species